UACGGAGGGUGCAAGCGUUAUCCGGAUUCACUGGGUUUAAAGGGUGCGUAGGCGGAUAGGUAAGUCCGUGGUGAAAUCCUGCAGCUUAACUGCAGAACUGCCAUGGAUACUAUUUAUCUUGAAUGUCGUGGAGGUUAGCAGAAUAUGUCAUGUAGCGGUGAAAUGCUUAGAUAUGACAUAGAAUACCCAUUGCGAAGGCAGCUAACUACGCGAUAAUUGACGCUGAUGCACGAAAGCGUGGGGGAUCAAACAGG
rnacentral:rRNA from 1 species